rnacentral:lncRNA from 1 species
GUCGCCUCUCUGCACCUCAACUUAACCGGAGCGUGCACACCCGCCUGCGAGGCUGACCCGAGCGCGUCCCACCCAAGGUCGCCCAGCCCCGCGGGCGUUUACUUUUCAAAGGUCGUGUGUACACAGUCUGAGCCGGAGCUGCCCCUUCACUUCUGGAGCCUCGCCCAACUUCUCACCCUCGGCUCGCCCGCCGGCGCAGCCCCUGGGAGUUCCGUGCGGCGAGCCAGGGGAACUGGGAAGAUGGGCCGGGACAUCGGCCGGUUGUGAUCCAACCGUGUUUCGGGCUGAGGGACCGUUCGAACCGAAUUGGGGUCUGGAGGUGUAAUUACUUCAAGCCUCCAGGAUGGCAAUCCAGUUCCGUUCGCUCUUCCCCUUGGCAUUGCCUGGGAUGCUGGCGCUCCUCGGCUGGUGGUGGUUUUUCUCUCGUAAAAAAGGCCAUGUCAGCAGCCAUGAUGAGCAGCAGGUGGAGGCUGGUGCUGUGCAG